GACAGAGGCCUCAAGCGUUAGGCGGAAUCACUGGGCUUAAAGCGUGUGUAGGCGGAUCGUUAAGUGUCUUGUGAAAUCCCACGGCUCACCCGUGGAACUGCUGGGCAUACUGGCGAUCUUGGGCCAACUAGGGGCAACUGGAACAAGCGGUGGAGCGGUGAAAUGCGUAGAUAAUCGCUUGGAACGCCAAAGGGUGAAAACAGGUUGCUG
rnacentral:rRNA from 1 species